rnacentral:rRNA from 1 species
UAGGGAAUCUUCCGCAAUGGGCGAAAGCCUGACGGAGCAACGCCGCGUGAGUGAUGAAGGUCUUCGGAUCGUAAAACUCUGUUAUUAGGGAAGAACAUAUGUGUAAGUAACUGUGCACAUCUUGACGGUACCUAAUCAGAAAGCCACGGCUAACUACGUGCCAGCAGCCGCGGUAAUACGUAGGUGGCAAGCGUUAUCCGGAAUUAUUGGGCGUAAAGCGCGCGUAGGCGGUUUUUUAAGUCUGAUGUGAAAGCCCACGGCUCAACCGUGGAGGGUCAUUGGAAACUGGAAAACUUGAGUGCAGAAGAGGAAAGUGGAAUUCCAUGUGUAGCGGUGAAAUGCGCAGAGAUAUGGAGGAACACCAGUGGCGAAGGCGACUUUCUGGUCUGUAACUGACGCUGAUGUGCGAAAGCGUGGGGAUCAAACAGGAUUAGAUACCCUGGUAGUCCACGCCGUAAACGAUGAGUGCUAAGUGUUAGGGGGUUUCCGCCCCUUAGUGCUGCAGCUAACGCAUUAAGCACUUCGCCUGGGGAGUACGACCGCAAGGUUG